AAUGAACGCUGGCGUCAUGCCUAACACAUGCAAGUCGAACGAAGGCUUCGGCCUUAGUGGCGCACGGGUGCGUAACGCGUGGGAAUCUGCCCUCAGGUUCGGAAUAACAGCGAGAAAUUGCUGCUAAUACCGGAUGAUAUCGCGAGAUCAAAGAUUUAUCGCCUGAGGAUGAGCCCGCGUAGGAUUAGCUAGUUGGUGUGGUAAAGGCGCACCAAGGCGACGAUCCUUAGCUGGUCUGAGGGGAUGAUCAGCCACACUGGGACUGAGACAGGGCCCAGACUCCUACUGGAGGCAGCAGUGGGGAAUAUUGGACAAUGGGCGAAAGACUGAUCCAGCAAUGCCGCGUGAGUGAUGAAGGCCUUAGGGUUGUAAAGCUCUUUUACCCGGGAAGAUAAUGACAGUACCGGGAGAAUAAGCUCCGGCUAACUCCGUGCCAGCCGCCGCAGUAA
rnacentral:rRNA from 1 species